UAGGGAAUCUUCGGCAAUGGACGGAAAGUCUGACCGAGCAACGCCGCGUGAGUGAAGAAGGUUUUCGGAUCGUAAAACUCUGUUGGUAGAGAAGAACGUUGGUGAGAGUGGAAAGCUCAUCAAGUGACGGUAACUACCCAGAAAGGGACGGCUAACUACGUGCCA
rnacentral:rRNA from 1 species